rnacentral:rRNA from 1 species
UACUAGAGUAGCACUCGCAUAUCAAUAAGCGGAGGAAAAGAAACUAACAAGGAUUCCCCUAGUAACGGCGAGUGAAGCGGGAAGAGCUCAAAUUUGAAAUCUUAAAGGGUUUCCCUUUACGAAUUGUAGUUUAAAGAAGUGUUUUCUGUUGAGGUUUUGGUAAAAGUUCUUUGGAAUAGGACAUCAUAGAGGGUGAGAAUCCCGUAUUUGACCUUUACUUUCAACUUUGUGAUACACUUUCAAAGAGUCGGAUUGUUUGGGAAUGCAGUCCAAAAUGGGUGGUAAAUUUCAUCUAAAGCUAAAUAUUGGCGAGAGACCGAUAGCGAACAAGUACCGUGAGGGAAAGAUGAAAAGAACUUUGAAAAGAGAGUUAAACAGUACGUGAAAUUGUCAAAAGGGAAGCGUUUGACACCAGUGUUGUUUUUCUGAAAAUCAAUUAAAGAACUGUUUAUGCUAAGUUGUUUAGACUUUAUCAGCUAUCUGUUUAGUUUUGAGCUUUUCUUUAGAUGCACUUUUCAGUUAACAAGUCAACAUCAAUUUCUUUUGCUGUAAAAAAGCUUGAGGAAGGUGGCUUGAGAUUCGUCUUAAGUGUUUAUAGCCUCUUGCCUAUGCAGUCGGAGAGAUUGAGGUCUGCAGCGUAGAUCCUUCGGGGCUAAAUGCAUUUGUGCUAAGUUAUAGCAUUUUAUAGACAACUUGUUGACUAUGAUUUGUCUUGUAGCUUACUCGCUUAUGUUAUUUUACCUACGCUUAGGAUGUUGAGCGCAUGUCUCUCUCU